CUGAAAACCUAGCUUACUUUAUUCUUAUGAAUAUACCACCUUAACACAUACUAAAUAAAACAUUUUGUACAUUGAGUAAAGGCGAUUAAAAAAUGUCUAAAAGCUAUAGAAACUAGUACCGCAAGGGAAAAGUGAAAUAUUAAUGAAAAACCUCAAGCACAAAAAAGUAGAGCUAUAACCUCGUACCUUUUGCAUCAUGGUCUAACUAGUUCAACCAAGCAAAAUGAAUUUUAAGUUUGACUUCCCGAAACUAGGUGAGCUACUUAAAAACAGCCUUACGGGCCAACCCGUCUCUGUUGCAAAAGAGUGGGAAGAUUUUUAAGUAGAGGUGACAGACCUACCGAACCUAGAGAUAGCUGGUUAUUCAGGAAAAGGAUUUAAGUCCUACCUUAAGUUUACUGUACAUUAUAAUACACAA
rnacentral:rRNA from 1 species